GUCGAGGUGGUGUAGUUGGUUAUCACGUCUGUCUAACAGGUUCCCUCCUCCUUGAGAAGGGUGUCCAGUUCACAGAAGGUCCCGAGUUCAAGUCUCGGCUUCGAUA